GGGGCGAAUCAAUUCCUCUCUCUCUCUCUCUCUCUCUGUCUCUCUUUCUCGUCCACUCUUGGAUCACACAAUUCUUCGGAGCGACUUCUCAAAAUAUCUGCACUUACCCAGUCAAAAUUCAAUUCAUCUCUACUUCUCUCGUCCUUUCUGCACAUGGACGAGGAGGAAAUGGUGAAUGAUGCCAAGAACUCUUCAAACAGAAAGCCAAAUCCAAAACUUUCAAUUUUACCUCUGAUUGCAUUGAUUUUCUACGAGGUCUCUGGCGGUCCGUUUGGUGUAGAAGAUUCAGUCAAAGCAGGAGGCGGGCCUCUGCUAUCUUUGCUUGGUUUCUUAAUAUUCC
rnacentral:lncRNA from 1 species